CUGCGUUGACUGCGCUACCAGUAAUAUACGCUUGUCUCAAAGGUUAAGCCAUGCAAAUGUCUAAGUACAAACAUAAAAUGAAACUGUGAACCGCAUAAGGCUCAGUAUAACAGCUAUAAUUCACAAGAUCAUCCUACACUAGUUACUGUUGGAUAACUGUGGAAAUCCAGAAGCUAACUACAUGCAAACAUGCCGGACUGUUGCCGCUAGCGGGUAGCUGAACUGGUGCCACUUAUUCAGUUAAACCAAUCGCCUCCGGGCGGCUUUGAGUUGAAGUCUGGAUAAGAGGACGCAGAUCUAUGGUCGCCUUGUCGACUGACGACAGAUCUUUUCAAAUGUCUGCCUGAUCACUAUUGAUGGUAGUGUAGAGGACUAGCCAUGGUUUGCGACGGGUAACGGGGAAUCAGGGUUCGAUUCCGGAGAGGAAGCCUGAGAAAUCGCUUACACAUCCAAGGAAGGCAAGCAAGGCGCGUAAAUUACCCAAUCCCAGUAACGGGGAGGUAGUGACGAGAAAUAACAAUAUGGACCUCUCUAACGAUGGGUCCAUAUUGGAAUGAGUUGAGUAUCAAAUCCUUCAACAGAUCAAUGGAGGUGCAAGGUCUGGUGCAGCAGACGCGCGGUAAAUUCCAGCUCCAACUAGCGUAUAUUAAAGUUUGUUGCGGUUAAAAACGUUCGAAGUUGAUGUGCCUCGUGCCAGACACGUGACCGCCAACGGGCGCCCGUUUUACACGCCGGGGCCGUUCGUGCGCGCGUUCUCACGGCUGCGACUCACAAUGCGUAGUGACUUGGGCGUUACUCUGUGAAGAGUAACCGGUGCUCCGUUAACUCCGGCACGGGCUCCUCAUGGUGCUCAAGAUACUCACAUUUCCUUGAACAAAUUAUGAGUGCUCAUAAGCAGGCUAGAGCACAAAGCAGUCCGGCCCCCCGGUGGGUUGGCGUUGCCGAGACUAAUCUUGCAUGGAAUAAUGGAAUCAUGACCUCGGUUUAUACGAUUUCGUUGGUUUGUCAGAAACCUAAGAGGUAAUGAUUAACAGAAGUAGUUUGGGGGCAUUGGUAUUACGCGUGCGCGAGAGGUGAAAAUUCGUAGACCGUGUAGGACCAACUGAAGCGAAAAGGGCCGUUCUGCCAUCGGAUGCCUUUCUUUAAUUCAAGAACGAAAGUUAGAGGAUCGAAGGCGAUUAAGAUACCGCCCUAGUUCUAACCGUAAACGAUGCCGUAAAUUACAAUUGAGGAGGACGCUCCCUAUUCGGUGCUCUCAGUCGCUUCCGGGAAACCAAAAUCGGGUUCCG
rnacentral:rRNA from 1 species